UUUCAAAAUAAUUAGGGUAAAGUUAAGAAAAUGUCCAACAAGUAGCAGGAAGCUAAAAAUUGUUGUAAAGAUAUACAGAAACGUAGGACAUAUUUGAAUUAUGGAGGGAAAAACUUUGGUUGCAAUGCCUUCUUAGAAAACAAGUCUCCUAUGGAAAAAUUAUUGGUUGCCAUGGUUACACAUGAAGUAACAAACAUUUGUUGAUCAGAACCAAGAAGUGUAAUUGCCAGUUGUUCCAGUAAAUGGUUGCUCAACAUGUGCCACCUCAUGAAAGUCUUGCACUAAACAUGAACAAAGCAAAGUGUGACCAGACCUCAAGAAAUAUCAGGAAGCUAAAAGUGGUUAUGAGGACAUACAGAAAUAGAAGAAAUUCGAUUUAUGUACGGAAAUAUUAGACUUGUAGAUUGCUAUGGUUAUUUAUAGAGUAACAAACUGAUAAUUUUUUGAGAGGGUGUAUUGAGGAUUUUUACAAUAUACUUUCCAACUUUUUCGUCAUACCUGUAUUAUGAAUAACUGCUUAGGUUUCAUUUUGAUUGCUCAAAAGUUAAACAAGCAGAUUGUAAUCUAAGUAGUUGUACAUAAUUAGAUAUGACGGCGAACGCGGAAAGUCUAUUGAAAAAUUCUUCAAAUACACCCUCUCAAAAUAAUUACGUGAAAUUUUUUAAAUUCCCAUUAAUUAUUUUGGGAGGAUGUAUUGAGGAAUUUUACAAUAUACUUUCCAACUUUUUCGUCACAUCAUCUUUAUUGUUCAUGAGGGCUUAGCUGUCAUUUUGCUUGUUUAGAAACUAAACAAGCACAAUGUAGGCUAAGCCUUCAUGGACAUUAAAAAGAUAUGACGGCAAACUAGGGACAGUCUAUUGAAAAAUUCUUCAAAUACACCCUCUCAAAAUAAUUACGUGAAAUUUUAAAUUCCCAUUAAUUAUUCUGGGAGGAUGUAUUGAGGAAUUUUACAAUAUACUUUCCAACUUUUUCGUCACAUCAUCUUUAUUGUUCAUGAGGGCUUAGCUGUCAUUUUGCUUGUUUAGAAACUAAACAAGCACAAUGUAGGCUAAGCCUUUAUGGACAUUAAAAAGAUAUGACGACAAACUUGGGACGGUCUAUUGAAAAAUUCUUCAAAUGCACCCUCUCAAAAUAAUUACGUGAAUUUAAAUUUUCAUUAAUUUUUUGAUCGGGGUGUGCUGAGGACUCUUUCAAUAUACCUUUCAGUUGUGUAGUCGUAUCUUUCAUGUGUAGGAUUGGAAGUUAGGCAAUUGUGCACGUUAAAGAUAUGACGGCUCAAUUGGGAGGUGUAUUGAAAAGUCUUCAAAUGCACCCCCUCAAAAUAAUUACGUGUAUCUAAAUUUUCGUUAAUUUUUUUGAAGGGGUGUAUUGAGGGAUUUUACAAUACACUUUCCGUUUUUGUCAUCAUAUCAUCUUCAAUGUGUAGAAUUGCUUAGCUUUCAAUUUCUUGUUUAGAACUUAAACAAGUAGAUUGGAAGUUAAGCAAUUGUGCACAUUGAAAAGAUAUGACGACAAUCGAGGACAGUCUAUUGAAAAAUUCUUCAAAUACAUUUCUCCCAAAGUAAUUACCAGCAAUUGACAAGCAACCGUCAGAAAGUUGAAUUUAAACUGAAUCUAGAAAUACGAAUUUGGACUGGAAAAUUUUAUGACAAACAAAUGAAAUGUGAACCAUUUUCAAAUAAAACAAUAAAAUACAAUUUACCAUA